AGAGCUUCCUGGUAUUUUUUUCCCAGGCAACUUUGCAAACGCAAUGGCGAGGAAGUUGCAAAUGUCAGCGAGCAAAGGGUAAUGUAGGUUUCUCAAUUAAAGUAAAUCGACAAGGUAAAAGCAAAACUCAAAGUCAGAGAUUGCUUUAAUUCUGUUAAAUUCAUUAUAAGGGCUGCACCUUCCGUGCACACACUGUGCACGUGUUGCUUAGGUGCAGACUAAACUAAUGUAGGAUAGAUCUGUGCGGCAAUCAAGGGACGCUUUAGUUCAGCUAAUCUAGAUCUUAGUUUGUUGGUAACAUAUUAAGACUUGUUUUGCCUCAUCAUGUUUGCUGCUUCGUUUAUGCGAGUUAUUCAGUGCAGCGAGAAGUUACAAGGCUCGCCAGGAAAGUGGUUGCUUGCACCCCAUGGGAAGGUGUUCCUAAGGACUUGGCGGUGUUUUAGGUGGGGGCAGGAAUUUGCCCACAGAGAAUCUGUGUUGCGUCCUCGUAUGUUUUUCCAAGUUGCUAAACAAAAUAUCUGGACCCAGGAGGGGCCGCUGAGAGCUGGGAAUGAAAGUAAACAAGCGUCUGUACAAAGAAGUCAAAAAGGAGGAGCACCCGUGUCGGCUGCUCAGAAAGUGAAAGAAGCUGGAUGGGAUUUUACCUACUUAAUAGUGGUGCUCGUUGGGAUUGGUGUUACAGGUGGUUUGUUCUAUGUGAUUUUUAAAGAACUAUUAUCUUCCUCCAGUCUCAGUAAGAUCUAUGACGAUGCCUUGGAGAAAUGCAGAUCUCACCCAGAGGUAAUAGGUGCUUUUGGAGACCCCAUUAAAGGUUAUGGUGAGCCAACGCGACAAGGAAGACCACAGCUUGUCAGGAAGACAGAAGGCUGGAAAAGGAUCUUUUUAAAAAAAGUGAGAUUGAGUAUGUAAAAAAUGGGUUGAAAUACAUGUGCUUGACGUUCUACAUUGAGGGCUCAGAACGAGGAAAGCAAGGGACAGUCCAUGUGGAAGUGAAAGAGAAUCCUGAAAGCAGAAGAUAUGAGUACCGUUACAUAUUUGUGGAAGUUGAGCCUUACCCUGGAAGAACCAUUGUAAUUGAAGAUAAUAGAUAGUAACUUGGUUCUGUGACAGUUCUUGAAGAGUGCUGAA